AACGAACGCUGGCGGCGUGGAUAAGACAUGCAAGUCGAACGAGAGAAUUGCUAGCUUGCUAAUAAUUCUCUAGUGGCGCACGGGUGAGUAACACGUGAGUAACCUGCCCCCGAGAGCGGGAUAGCCCUGGGAAACUGGGAUUAAUACCGCAUAGUAUCGAAAGAUUAAAGCAGCAAUGCGCUUGGGGAUGGGCUCGCGGCCUAUUAGUUAGUUGGUGAGGUAACGGCUCACCAAGGCGAUGACGGGUAGCCGGUCUGAGAGGAUGUCCGGCCACACUGGAACUGAGACACGGUCCAGACACCUACGGGUGGCAGCAGUCGAGAAUCAUUCACAAUGGGGGAAACCCUGAUGGUGCGACGCCGCGUGGGGGAAUGAAGGUCUUCGGAUUGUAAACCCCUGUCAUGUGGGAGCAAAUUAAAAAGAUAGUA
rnacentral:rRNA from 1 species